rnacentral:rRNA from 1 species
UACAGAGGGUGCGAGCGUUAAUCGGAAUUACUGGGCGUAAAGCGCGCGUAGGCGGCUUUGCAAGUCGGGUGUGAAAUCCCCAGGCUUAACCUGGGAACUGCAUUCGAGACUGCAUUGCUAGAGUAUGGGAGAGGGAAGUGGAAUUUCCGGUGUAGCGGUGAAAUGCGUAGAUAUCGGGAGGAACACCAGUGGCGAAGGCGACUACCUGGCCUGUUUCUUGACGCUGAGGCGCGAAAGCUAGGGGAGCAAACGGG